rnacentral:rRNA from 1 species
ACACGGCAUUGCCUUAGUACGGCGAGUGAAGCGGCAAAAGCUCAAAUUUGAAAUCUAGCACUUUCAGUGUUCGAGUUGUAAUUUGAAGAAGGUAACUUUGGAAUUGGCUCUUGUCUAUGUUCCUUGGAACAGGACGUCACAGAGGGUGAGAAUCCCGUGCGAUGAGAUGUCCAAUUCUAUGUAAAGUGCUUUCGAAGAGUCGAGUUGUUUGGGAAUGCAGCUCUAAGUGGGUGGUAAAUUCCAUCUAAAGCUAAAUAUUGGCGAGAGACCGAUAGCGAACAAGUACAGUGAUGGAAAGAUGAAAAGAACUUUGAAAAGAGAGUGAAAAAGUACGUGAAAUUGUUGAAAGGGAAGGGCUUGAGAUCAGACUUGGUAUUUUGUGUUCCUUAUUCUUUUUGGAUUUGGUUCCUCACAGCUUACCGGGCCAGCAUCGGUUUGGAUGGUAGGAUAAUGACAUUGGAAUGUAGCUUUGCUUCGGUGAAGUGUUAUAGACUUUGUUGAUACUGCCUAUCUAGACCGAGGACUGCGUCUUUGACUAGGAUGCUGGCGUAAUGAUCUUAAGCCGCCCGUCUUGAAAACCGGGACCA